AGUUUGUUGGUGAGGUAAUGGCUCACCAAGACGACGACGGGUAGCCGGCCUGAGAGGGCGACCGGCCACACUGGGACUGAGACACGGCCCAGACUCCUACGGGAGGCAGCAGUGGGGAAUAUUGCACAAUGGGGGAAACCCUGAUGCAGCGACGCAGCGUGCGGGAUGACGGCCUUCGGGUUGUAAACCGCUUUCAGCAGGGAAGAAGCCUUUCGGGGUGACGGUACCUGCAGAAGAAGUACCGGCUAACUACGUGCCAGCAGCCGCGGUAAUACGUAGGGUACAAGCGUUGUCCGGAAUUAUUGGGCGUAAAGAGCUCGUAGGUGGUUGGUCACGUCUGCUGUGGAAACGCAACGCUUAACGUUGCGCGUGCAGUGGGUACGGGCUGACUAGAGUGCAGUAGGGGAGUCUGGAAUUCCUGGUGUAGCGGUGAAAUGCGCAGAUAUCAGGAGGAACACCGGUGGCGAAGGCGGGACUCUGGGCUGUAACUGACACUGAGGAGCGAAAGCAUGGGGAGCGAACAGGAUUAGAUACCCUGGUAGUCCAUGCCGUAAACGUUGGGCACUAGGUGUGGGGGACAUUCCACGUUCUCCGCGCCGUAGCUAACGCAUUAAGUGCUCCGCCUGGGGAGUACGGUCGCAAGGCUAAAACUCAAAGGAAUUGACGGGGGCCCGCACAAGCGGCGGAGCAUGCGGAUUAAUUCGACGCAACGCGAAGAACCUUACCAAGGCUUGACAUACACCAGACCGUUCUGGAAACAGUUCCUCCCCUUUGGGGUUGGUGUACAGGUGGUGCAUGGUUGUCGUCAGCUCGUGUCGUGAGAUGUUGGGUUAAGUCCCGCAACGAGCGCAACCCUCGUUCUAUGUUGCCAGCACGUAAUGGUGGGAACUCAUAGGAGACUGCCGGGGUCAACUCGGAGGAAGGUGGGGAUGACGUCAAAUCAUCAUGCCCUUUAUGUCUUGGGCUUCACGCAUGCUACAAUGGCUGGUACAGAGAGAUGCGAGACCGCGAGGUUUUAGCGAAUCCCUUAAAGCCAGUCUCAGUUCGGAUGGUAGUCUGCAAUUCGACUACGGAAGUCGGAGUCGCUAG
rnacentral:rRNA from 1 species